ACUACUUCAAUAAAGAAUCAAUGAAACUGGAAAGAACGACUGGAGGAUUUGUUUUUGUUAUCGACUGUGUAAAUUCCACUCCUCCCUGCCUGUGUAGUAACAGCAAUAAUAAGUUGGACGUUGGAAAAGUUUAAAAUUGCCAUUACAUCACCUAUUCCUAUUCUCCAGAGAUGCUGCCUGACCCACUGAG